GCCCCCUCCGAAGAAAAAGAGCCCACUCCUCAGUCCUCACUCGUUCUCAUCCCCAAGAAAAAUGCGCCGCCUUUUGCCUUCGCCGCCGGAGAGCACCUGCUGCUCCCUUCUGCGGCUGGUGUAGCUCCACGCGGAUCUGCUGCGCGCGGGGGCGGCGCGCCGGAGGAGGAUCUCCCAUUCCCGGCGGCAACUCGACGGAGGAGGAGUUGAGCUGCCGCGCGCGGAGGCGACGCGCCGGACGAGCUGAAAUGCUGCUCCUGGAGGCGACGCACCGGAGGAGGAGCUGAGCUUCCGCUCCUGGGGGGCGACGCGCUGGAUCGGCGACCCAUCUUUCUCGCCGCCCAGAUCUGAACGAGCAGCGCAUCCGUCCAUCUCAAAGCAAAAGAUAGCAAGAUCAAUGGCAAUGGUGCUGGAUGCAUUUGCAUCCUACGUGGGGCACAUGCUUGCGCAGGUAGUAGCAGAUGAGGUGGGGAUGAUGCUGGGCAUCUCAGGCGAGAUCAGCAAGAUGAGCGACAAACUUCGGGACCUCAAGAACUUCUUGGCUGAUGCCGAUAGGAGGAACAUCACCGAUGAAACCGUCCGGGAGUGGGUGGGGCAGCUCAAGCGUGCCAUGUACGAAGCUGCUGACAUCCUCGACCUCUGCCAGCUCAAGGCCAUGGAGCGUGGAUCAUCCUCAGCAGAUGCAGGGUGUUUCAAUCCCUUGCUCUUUUGCAUGAGGAACCCCUGCCAUGCUCAUGAAAUCGGCACCCGCAUCAAGAAGCUCAAUAAGAGGCUCGACUCCAUCAAGGAGCGGAGCAUGGGAUGGUGUGCUCAAAACACCCUUUGUUAAUGCUGCUGCUUCAGGCAGUCGAGUCCUCAUCACCACUAGAGAUGAAGAAGUCGCUCAAGGGAUGAUAGCCAGACGACCCUACCACCACGUUGACACAUUAUUGCCUGAAGAUGCUUGGUCAUUGCUCAAGAAGCAGGUACUCUCAAGUGAGAUAGAUGAAGACCACAUCAACAUGCUAAAGGAUAUCGGAUUGAAAAUUAUACAAAAAUGUGGUGGUUUACCACUUGCGGUCAAAGUAAUGGGAGGACUCUUGCGUAAAAGAGGAGGCCUACAUCGUGACUGGGAGCAGGUUUUGGAUGAUUCUAAAUGGUCAAUAACUAAAAUGCCUCAAGAGCUCAACUACGCAGUAUACUUGAGCUAUGAAUAUAUGCCUUCUUAUCUGAAGCAGUGCUUUCUAUACUACUCUCUUCUUCCUAAAAGUAAAAAGUUUAAUCUGAAUCAAGUCGUUGCGCUGUGGAUGAGUGAAGGAUUUAUUCAUGGAAACUUUAGGGAUUUAGAAGAAUUGGGAGAAAAGUACUACAAGGAGUUAGUAUCUAGGAACCUUAUAGAGCCAGAUAAAUCAUAUGUUGAUCUAUGGGUUUGCAGCAUGCAUGAUGUUGUUCGCUCUUUUGCUCAAUAUAUGACUAAAGAUGAAGCACUUGUAGCUCAGGAUGGAGACAAUGAUAUUCUUACUAAACUAAGUUCACAAAAGUUUCUUCGGUUGUCCAUAGAAACCAACCGACUGCAAUCAGGUGAACUUGACUGGAAAUUUCUACAGGAGCAGCAAUCAGUGAGAACAUUAUUCUCAUCUAUCCAGAUCAUGAUGAAGCCUGGUGAUUCAAUGGUUACCUUUUCACAUCUGCGAGCCCUAUAUAUAGAAGCUGCAGAUGUGGCUGCAUUGGUUGAAUCAUUGCAUCAACUCAAGCACCUGAGGUAUCUAGCACUAAUAAAUGCUAAUAUAUCUGUACUUCCAGGGAACAUUGGCAAGAUGAAACUAUUGCAAUUUCUUGACCUUUGUGGAUGUGAAAAUUUGGUGAAUCUUCCUGAUAGCAUUGUGAAUCUUGUCCAGCUGAGGUUACUUGAGCUUCCCGGCACAAGUAUGAUACCUAGAGGGUUCAGUGGUCUAACAAUUAUCAGGAGACUAAGUGGGUUUCGAGCCUACAUGGAUGGUGAUUGGUGCAGUUUGGACGAGUUGGGGCCUCUUUCCCAACUCAGACUUAUUGGAUUAGUCGAUUUGGAAAAUGUAUCUGCUGCCUCGUUUGCUGCUAAUGCUAGGCUUGGUGGGAAGAUGCAUCUUAUCGAUCUAUUCUUGUACUGCACUAGCAGACUGGGACAUGAUGGGUUGGUCAAAGAGAAAGAAGGUGUCUCUGAGGAAGAGCAGCGAUGUAUUGGGAAGGUGUUUGAUGAGCUCUGCCCUCCAUCCAGCGUAGAAAAUCUUGAUAUCAAGGGGUAUUUUGGCAAGCAACUCCCGAGGUGGAUGAUAUCCACGUCAACGGUACCCCUCACCAACCUGAAGUAUCUAAUGUUAUCUGACCUGGCUUGUUGCACACAACUUCCCAAUGGGUUGUGCAAGCUCCCCUGCCUGCAUUUACUUCAGGUCAACCGUGCUCCAUGCAUCAGGCAAAUUGGGAAUGGAUUCUUGCAGGAGGCAGCAGCUCCAUUUCCAAGAUUAAACAAGUUGAACUUAAUUGGAAUGGUGGAAUGGGAGGAGUGGGAGUGGGAGGAGAAAGUACAAGCCAUGCCCAGGUUAGAGAACCUCGUGCUCGAUAAUUGCAAACUGUGGCGUGUUCCUCCUGGCCUUGCCUCCAAUGCAAGGGCUUUGAAAGCAUUAUACAUACAGAGGGUCCAUCACCUUAGCUACCUUGAGAGCUUUCCUUCUGUUGUUGAGCUUACAGUGUGUCAAAUCCCUGACCUGGAGAGGAUCACCAACCUCCCCAAUCUGCAAAAGCUUACCAUCACCGAUUGCCCAAAGUUGAAGGUGCUGCAGAGUAUCCCUGCACUCGAGAGGUUGGUCCUGGAGGAUUGUGUCAUGGAAGAACUCCCAGACUACAUGCUAGAUAUAAAGCCAAGGCAUUUGCAGCUGCUCUGCAGGAUAUGGUUGCUAUAUUCAUUAGCCGCAGGACAAUCUGGUCCCGAGUGGGACAAGUUCAGCCAUGUGGAGCAUGUCAAGGCAUAUGCACAUGAUGGAGACAACCAAAGGAAAUGGUACGUGCUAUACACAAGAGACAACUGCAAGUUGGAUUCGAACAUUAGCAGCUCUACCACAUUUGAAGAAACCUUAUCAUCUUCUAUGCUGGAUGCACAAGGAUUUGAGUCUUUGUACAAAAUGAGAAGAAGUACCUUCAGUUAUGUUUGCAGCUUGGUGAGGGUGCCAUUUCUGGAAGAUAUGAUGGCAAGGGAUCACACCUUUUUUGAUGGGAGAGUACUAUCUUUACAGGAUCGAGUAGCUGUCGCUCUAAGAAUGCUGAACUCUGGUGAGUCACCAGUUACCAUAGGAUCCUCUCUUGGUGUGGACGAGUCAACUCUCUCACUGGUAACUCAGGUAUUUCUCAAGGCUAUGUGGGAGCGAGCAAUGCACCACUGCAGCUGGCCUGGCUCCGCUAAAAUGGAGAAGCUCAAGUGCAAGUUUGACAAGAUCCAUGGUCUGCCAAACUGCUGUGGUGUUUUACAUACAGCUCACAUCACGGUUGGGUCAACAAAUUGUGAUGGCAAGGAGAAUGACGGCAUCCUAGUGCAGGCCAUCGUUGAUGCAGUUAUGAGGUUCACAGACAUUUGGUGGAACUUGACAGGCAGUAUGAACAAAUCGAACAUUUUGCGUGACUCUGAGCUCCUUGAGAAGUGUGAGAAUGGUGCUUGGCUUAAUGGCAGUAUGUUGAGGUUAUCAGAUGGCUCGGAUGUCGGAGAAUACAUAAUUGGUAAUGCAGGAUACACUCUUCGUCCCUGGCUCCUCACACCUUACCAAUUGGAGAAUGACCUCUCACUCUCAGACUCCAAAGCAGAGUUCAACAGGAGGCACACUGCAGCUACAGUCGUCACGCUGAGGGCAUUGGCAAGGUUGAAAGACACGUGGAAGUGCCUGCAGGGAGAAGGGUGGCAUCCAAGUAAUAAAGAUGAAAUGUGCGACACAAUCGGCACGUGCUGCGCGUUGCAUAACAUAGUGAUAGACAUGGAGGAGGAGGGUGCAGGCAUGCCGAGCCAUCAGCGGGAGAAUUACAUCAGGCAAGUACGGCAAGUAGCAGAUGAGGAUGCUGUCAGAAUGAGGGAUAUAUUGUCCCAGCACUUGAUUGAAUCUGGAGUCCACACAAAGGCUGCAGAGGAGGAACAAGAAGCACUAGUUGCAUCCAGAUCAGGAGAUAAAAAACAAGGAACAAGAAGCACACCAACGGCAGACAACAGCUCAAGGAAAGGAGCACGGUAACUGGCGACAUGAGAUCGGACUGAAUUAAUUUGGUAUUUUUAACUUCUCUGCUAUAAAUUGUGCUUCAGGCCGCAGUUCUCUUAGUUCCUUCUUGCGCUAUGGUGCUAAUCAAUUAACGUCCCUCGAAGCCAUUAAAUCCCUCGGCCCUGGCCCCUGGGUACGGAGCCAAAUUGAUGCUGCAAAGAAUUAAGACCGGGAUCAGCAAAAAGAAAAAUCUUAGGUUUUCACAUGUAGUAUUUGGCAAAGACGAGCGUCGUGCAUUGCAUAUUACUAGUGGCUUGCAUGCUGAUGUCGCUUGGGUGGAAGAAGAGGAGGGAACUUCAGAACCCCUGGGAUGCACAUGAGGAUGAUGCAGCCUCCUCAUGAAGCCAAGAACAUAUCAUCAUUCUACUGUUUGUUGCUGAAGUCUAGAGCUGCACCGAACGGCCAAAGUGGUCAGAGAGCAUGUACUUGGGCAGCUUCUGCUAGGUCCUCAGGUCGGUGGUCUUGUGAGGAUAACAACAGCGUAUGAUCAUUCUACUGCUUGUUUAAUAGUCACGGACCGAUGCUAUUCUUACAUACUAGUACAAGCUUUACAAAAAUCCUACGUGCUAGUUCAAAUUUAAUGGCAGUUAUUUCCAUGUUUUGUUCUAGGCAUUUUGUAGGAGCAGUAUGCUCACAAUACGUAAACAUUUUGUAGGAGUAGUCUGUAGGAAUAGGAUUUCUGAUAGUCACCGGCUCACCGCCGUUGCUUCAUAGUGGAAUCUCUACAAAGACUUACAUUUAGGAAUGGAGGGAGUAGAUUGUAAUGAUGGUUUUUUAUCUCUUGAUCCUUCACAGCAUAUGCCUGUGUUCACCACUAUGCAUGGAUGAUCUUUGGUUUUAAAUGAACAUGGGUAACUCUUUCGAAGUUGGCAUCUUA